rnacentral:rRNA from 1 species
ACGGCUCAGUAACACGUGGCUAACCCACCCUUGAGACGGAGAAAACCCCGGGAAACUGGGGUUAAUCUCCGAUAAGAGAAGACCCCGGAAUGGGUCUUCUCUCAAAGGGCGCCUAGACCAUGCUUCUAGGCGUUGCUCAAGGACGGGGCCGCGGCCGAUCAGGUUGUUGGUGAGGCAACGGCUCACCAAGCCUAUAACCGGUACGGGCCGUGAGAGCGGGAGCCCGGAGAUGGGCACUGAGACAAGGGCCCAGGCCCUACGGGGCGCAGCAGUUGCGAAAACUCCGCAAUGCACGAAAGUGUGACGGGGCUACCCCGAGUGCCGUCCGCUGAGGGCGGCUUUUCCCCGGUGUAAGGAGCCGGGGGAAUAAGGAGAGGGCAAGUCUGGUGUCAGCCGCCGCGGUAAUACCAGCUCUCCGAGUGGUAGGGAUGAUUAUUGGGCUUAAAGCGUCCGUAGCCGGCCCGGCAAGUCUUCCGUUAAAUCCAACGAUUCAAUCGUUGGACUGCAGGAGAUACUGUUGGGCUAGGGGGCGGGAGAGGCCGACGGUAUUCUCGGGGUAGGGGUAAAAUCCUAUAAUCCCGGGAGGACCACCAGUGGCGAAGGCGGUCGGCUAGAACGCGCUCGACGGUGAGGGACGAAAGCUGGGGGAGCGAACCGGAUUAGAUACCCGGGUAGUCCCAGCUGUAAACGAUGCGGGCUAGGUGUUGGGGCGGCUAGGGCCGCUUCAGUGCCGCAGGGAAACCAUUAAGCCCGCCGCCUGGGGAGUACGGCCGCAAGGCUGAAACUUAAAGGAAUUGGCGGGGGAG